AUUCCUACGUAACAUAGGGGCUCUCCCAUGCCAGAACCCUCAUGGAAAUAUCUGUUCUUAUCAGUUUAAUGUCUGAUACGCCCCUUACCUGGGGGCCAUAUUAUUAGAUGGAAUUUUUGAACAGGGAUAUGAAAAAAAAACCCUAUCUUAGCGGGUGUUAUAGCCAAUUUAACAUUGAAGCUGGCCAAUUGC